rnacentral:rRNA from 1 species
CCUACGGGCGGCAGCAGUGAGGAAUAUUGGUCAAUGGACGCAAGUCUGAACCAGCCAUGCCGCGUGCAGGAAGACGGCUCUAUGAGUUGUAAACUGCUUUUGUACGAGGGUAAACUCAGAUACGCGUAUCUGUCUGAAAGUAUCGUACGAAUAAGGAUCGGCUAACCCCGUGCCAGCAGCCGCGGUAAUACGGAGGAUUCAAGCGUUAUCCGGACUUAUUGGGUUUAAAGGGUGCGUAGGCGGUCGGAUAAGUUAGAGGUGAAAUCCCGAGGCUCAACUUCGGAAUUGCCUCUGAUACUGUUAGGCUAGAGAGUAGUAGCGGUAGGCGGAAUGUAUGGUGUAGCGGUGAAAUGCUUAGAGAUCAUACAGAACACCGAUUGCGAAGGCAGCUUACCAAGCUACUUCUGACGUUGAGGCACGAAAGCGUGGGGAGCAAACAGGAUUAGAUACCCCUGUAGUC